GCCAGCAUGGCAUAGUGGUUUGAGCACUGGACUAAGAUUCUGGAGAGCAGGAUUCAAAUCCCAGAUCAGUCA